AGGGAGAGAGAGACAGACAACACAGGUGGGGGGAGGGGCAGAGAGAGAGAGCAUGAGACACUGACUGAGCCACCCAGGCACCCCCACUUUUUUUUUUUUUUUAAUAGUAGCCAUUCUAAUGGGCAUGAGGUGAUAUCGUGGUGGUUUUGAUUUCCAUUUUUCUAGUGAUGUUGAUUAUCCUUUGAUAUGCUUGUGGGCCAUUAGUGUUAUUUUUGGAAAAUCACUAUCAUUUUUUAUCUUGAAAAGAUAACUCAUUACAUCUUUAUUAAUUACCUGUUCAAAGUGCUGGAAUAGUAAGAUGAAUAAGACACAUCGUUAUUACCCAUGUUACUCAUUGUUACGGAGAAGACAGAUGAGUAGACCAACAAUUACUGCCGAAGUGGUGUGCUAGAGUCACUUAUGCCAAAAUCUCAAGCAUCAUAAUAGAACAUUUGUAAGUUAGCUUUUGUUGCAUGUGUAAAAGUUUCAGAAAUUAAUCACAAGUGAAUUUUUCCCUCCAUGUAGCUUGUUUUUUGAAUACCUGUUUGGGUCAGAGUUUAAACAUACCUGAUUGGUGUUAAGCAGAAUGUGGUUUACCAGUUUUUUUUUUCUUGGGACUUAAGUUCUUUAUGGAGCAUUUAUUUGGUAGGUUGAUAAGGAAGAACAAUAUUUACUAAUUUGUCUUGGCAGAUAGAUACACUUUUAUUCCAGAUAUAUUUAUUUAACUGUUUUCUUUUUCUAAUAAAAAUCUCCUUUCUAUAGUUUUCCCUUUUGGUAUUUUAAAAACUAGUUCAUUUAUUCAUUCCUACUUAGGUAUGUUUAUGCAAAAUGAAAUUGCCUUGGGGAAAGGACUUCUGAGUCCUUCUAAGUGUGUUCCAGAUGCUGAAAGAGAUGAAAAGAGGUUUGAUCCACAGUUCAUUGUCGUAUGACAUAACCACCUGAAGUGUUAAUAAAUACUAGUUUAAAUAAUGGUUCAAGACAAGCAGUACAAUACUGUAGAAUUAGGCAGUAGAAAUUGUUUCAGUUUGGUGAGAUCUAGAAAGUAUGGAGCUUGAGAUGGGCCAAGAAGAAUGGUGAAAUUGGUGGACAUUUUCAGCAAGGUUAGAGGGAGAGAACAGUUGACUGCAGAAAGUCAAGCGCCCCUGUAGUUGGAAUUCUUGUAGGAGAGACCUUGCCCUGUUUGAGACUCAGGGGUCUUUGUUUGAUGAGCCCUGAUACCCCCCAAAAUAUGCUCUGUGGGCCACCUAAAUCAAAUCACCUAAAGGGCUCCAUAAAAUCCAGAUUGCAACUUAUCAUAUCAGACUAAUUGAAUUGGAACUCUGUGAGUAGGUUCUUGUAAUCUGUGUUUUACCUUUACCAUCUUGAUAUGGGGAGGGGGUUUUGCACAUCACUAUUGUAAGCAUUUGAGAAACAGCAUUUAAAAAAAAAUGUUUUUUUAAUGUUUAUUUUUGAGAGAGAGAGACAGGGUGUGAGCACGGGAGGGGAAGAGAGAGACACGGGAUCCGAAGCAGGCUCCAGGCUCUGAGCUGUCAGGACAGAGCCCGACGUGGGGCUCGAACCCACAGACCGUGAGAUGAUGACCUGAGCUAAGUCAGACAUUUAACUGACUGAGCCACCCAGGUGCCUGUGAGAUGGUAUUUUAAAAAGAGUGUUGUGUUUGAAAUUCUGUUUUGGGAUGGGUGCCUGGGUGACUCAGUCCGUAAAGCGUCAGACCUCAGCUCAAGUCAUGAUUUUGAGGGUCACAGGUUUGAGCCCUGCGUGGGGCUCUGUGCUGACAGCUCAGAGCCUGGAUCCUGCUUCAGAUCCUGUGUCUCCCUCUCUCUCUGCCCCUGCCCCACUUGCACUCUGUCUCCCUCAAAAAUCAACAAACAAUAAAAAAAAUUGUUUUAGGAAAGAUUAAUUUGGGGGUAGAAUAUGGCAUUGAUUAUUAGAGUAUGGUGAAACUUUGAAUUACGAAGGAUAACAGAUGUAUUUGUAUUAGAUAGAAGCCUGAAUAGUGGUGGGAGUGGAAAAGGAACAACAUCAGAUAAUUAUGGCUAUGGUUAUCAUAACAUUUGAAUUCUUUGUUCUGUAUGUAUUAUACUUUGCUAUGGUUAGGCAUAUUUUACUGUGAAUAGAUGAAAUGAGUACAUUUUCCACCCUCAAAUUUACAAUGUUUAGCACAGUGCUUUCACAUAACACCUGAUAAAAUGCCCUGAAUUGUAUUGAAGAACUGACAAAAUCUGGCAGUUUAAUACAGAUGGCUUGGGAAAGAUUAAAGGAGGCAAAGGUAGCUUAGAUAUCAGAAGUGAAGUCAGGAAGGACAUUGAUUUUGGAAGGACAUGAAGUGUUUAGAUAGGCUGGUUUGGAAUAAUAUAAAGACAACCUAAUAAAAUAUUCUUCAGGGAUUUGGCAGUUUGAUACAGGAUUUUGGUCAGGUGUUUGGGAGAGGUUGCAGGUAGGAUAGGAAUUAGAGUGGAUUAGGUGUGGGCCUGAGAAGGAUGAGACAUUGUUGAAUAAUAUGAUGGUCCCUGGGGAUUGGGGUUAUAAGUAUUGGAAAUUAGGAAAGGAUAGAAAUACAAUGUAUUUGUUUUAUAAUCUUUUUAUUUUGUGCCCUUUUUUGUUGAUUUUUGUCUGUUCAGAAUUUUUAAUUUAAUUUUUUUUUUUGUAAAUUUACAUCCAAAUUACCAUAUAGUGCAAUAAUGAUUUCAGGAGUAGAUUCCUUAAUGCCCCUUACCCAUUUAGCCCAUCCCCCCUCCCACAACCCCUCCAGUAACCCUCUGUUCUCCAUAUUUAAGAGUCUCUUAUGUUUUGUCCCCCUCCCUGUUUUUAUGUUAUUUUUGUUGGAAACAUUGAUUUUGAAAAUAGUUUUAUAUGUUUGAUACAGUAAAACAGUCAACAUACCUUCUGAGAUUUGAGGUUUUGGUUGUCAUUCUCAGAUUUAAUUAUAACAUCCUGUCCUCCUUUUUUUGCAUUCCUUGUUUUCUUUGUGCUUGCAUACCAUGACUUUAAUAAUUGGCUAAUGCCUUAUUAUACUGGCUUCUCUCAGAGUCCACUCGGCUACUUUUAUAUAUGAUUAAUUGGAGGUUUUGUGAGUUUUGAUGUACUUUCUAAAUUUUAUCUUUUAUUUUAAAAAGUCGUAUUUCAAAAUUUUAUUCUAGUUUCUCAUUUUCCCGUGUCCAACUGUCACCUUUGACUUUUCUCUUUUAAAGAUUAAUAUUUUGUUCCCUUAUCAGGAAAUUAAUUUAGAUAAAAUUUUACAUUAAUUCCUGUAUACCUUAUCUUUCAUUUGCUCUCAGUCCGUAAUAUUUCAGCAGAAUUAUUUUAAUUCAUUGCCUUUCUACUCCAGAUACUUUGAAUUUUUGAAGUUAUAAUAUCUGGUUUUCUCAAGUUUUUGUCUUUUAUUUUUAUUUUAUUUUUUACCGCUUAUUCGUUUUUGAGAGACAGAGUGCAAGUGGCAGAGAGAGAGGGAGACACAGAAUCUGAAGCAAGAUCCAGGCUCUGAGCUGUCCUCACAGAGCCUGAUGCAGGGCUCAUGAGAUCAUGACCUGAGCCAAAGUCAGAUGCUUAACCAACUGAGCCACCCAGGCGCCCCUCAGUUGUUUUAAUAUAAUUUUCUAGCUUUUGUGUUUUGUGUUGCUGACUUUAGCUGUCAGCCUUUGUUCAUUUUCUUUAUUAAAACACACAGAAAAUGUGCACUUAAAAUGAUGUCUGGUCUCAAAUUUGGAAAUAAUAUUUUCUGGCAAAGCUUAGUGGUUUUGAAAUUUUUUGUAUAACCAUUAAAGGCAUACCUAAAGUAUGGGUGGGUGGUCUAGUGUAUAACCUAGUCAAUCUUGCUAAAUGCUGUUCCUUUGAAAUGUAAAUGUCUACUUGAUGUGAAAUUUGGGACUCUGGCCAGAUAUAAUAUAGAAAUCUAGGAUUAGAAGGGAGCAUUCCAAUUCAGGCAUCCUUGUGAUUUCUGAAUACCCUUUACAGUUAAUCACUUGGUUGUCUGGCCUGUGACUGAACAUAUUCAGGGUAUGACAUAUGAUGUCCUACUCAUCAGAAGCUGUGGGCUGUCUGAGGGAUCCCUUUAUGGUGUCAUUGAGCUUACCAGCUCAAUUUUUACAUCGGUCACACAAGGAAGAUAUUACUAGGUUGUUCUUCAUGAUGACAAUUUACAAAGCUUUAGGCAGAAAGGACCACAAAUCAUACAGCCAUUUUUUCACAUCAAAUAAUCUUUUCUGUAAUAUUCUUGAAAGUUCAUCCAAGGCUUUUCUUGAAUACCUCUAGGGUAGGGAGCUGAAUUAAAUUCUGUUCUAUGAAAUAACUAUAUCAUUGACAACUUUUAAAAAGAACUUUCUUUUUAGAAAGUUCUUCUUUCCAUUUUCCCAAGCCUCCUUUUUUAAUUGUUUCCCACUGAUUUUUUUUGUUCUCUGGAACAAUUCAGGAAGUCUUUGAUAAAAUUUUGACCUUCAACUGUUUGGAAGAUGGUUUUGUUUUGUUUUGUUUUUGAGAAGAGUGCAAUUGGGGGAGGAGUAGGAGAGAGAGAAUCCCAAGCAGACUCCAUACUAAUGUGGGGCUCGAACUCACCGUGAGAUCAUGACCUGAGCGGAAAUCAAGAGUCAGAUGCUUAACUGACUGAAGACAGUUUUCAUGUUUUUCCUGAGAAGUUAAAGCAUCACUAAAUUACCUGUCCUAGAAGCAUCCUGGUUUCUGUUUCCUCUGAAAGUGUGGAUUUUGGUGUCCAUGCCCAUAGUAUUUUGGAGGUGGUUAGGUGGCAUUAUCUACUUUGACAAUUUGGACAAAUUAUUUAAUUUCUUUCUCAUUUGUAAGAUGAAGUUGUUGGGCGAAUUAUUUAAUUUCUCUUUUUCAUUUGUAAGAUGAAGUUGUUGGAGUAGAGCAGAGAUUUGGUUGUGAACUUGGCUCCCAGACAUUUUUUAGCUUGGCUAAAAAUUUAUAGAGUUGGUGGCCAACGUUUUAAAAUCUAGAGUUCACUUAAAACCCCAAAUUUUAGGUAUCUCCUGGAAAAUUGUAAAGUCUGGCAGCAGUGGAUACCUUGUGGCAUGGCAUCACUGACUGUAGUUGAGAGGGGGUUUGUCUUGGGGGUUGGAGGUUUGCCCUCUCCAGUUUACCCUUGGUCUCACCUAACCUUUGUUGCAUUUAUUUUUUUUUAACUUUGCAUGCUUGUCGCUAUAGGCAUUAGGAUUCUUAAUCCUCAGGAAUGGAGGAUUUUGUAAGGUCUAUUGUGCCCUAGAUACUAUCUUGAGCCAUCGAAUUCUGAUGUUGUGAUCUUGAAUUAUUUUGUGAAACCUUAACCUGGAUCAGAAUCAAGACUGCUUUAUCUUAUGCAGUCAGAGGACAUUUGUUGGUUCAUAGUAUUUCAGAACAAUUAAGACAUUUUCACAAGUUGGUUAUAGUGUUGUCCAUAUCUUCUCUAUCCUUACUGAUUUGUAUUUUGUCCGUUUUUGAGAGGUGUUGGAAAUCUCUAUAAUUAUGGAUUUGUCAGUUUGGAGUUUCAUAAGUUUUUGCUUCAUGUAUUUUGAAACUUUGGUUUUAGGUACAUAAAACAAUUUUGAAUAUGUGGAACAUGGUUAUAUAAUUUUUAAUACUCUGUUUUUAUUAAUUCUGUCACCUGUUACUUCUAGGUUUGCUGUUUAUUGAUUUUUCUGUUCAUUAUGGGUCAUAUUUUCCUACUUUUUUGCGUGCCCAGUUAAUUUUGAUUCAAAGCCAGAUACUACAAAUUUUACCUUGUUAAAAUUUUACCUUACUGAUGGAUAUUUUUCUAUUGUAACUAUUCUUUAUUCUUGGGAUGAGCUUUGUUCUUGGGAUAAGGUUAAAUUACUUGGAAAGAGUUUGAUCCUUUUGAGACUUGUUUUUAAGCAGCCUUCGGGAGUUAAUUUUUUUUCAUACUACUGAGACAAGAACCGUCUGUACUCUCUCUGAUCCCUUGUGAAUUAUGAGUUUUCUCACCCUGGGUGAUGCGAAUAGGUGCUGCCUAUGAGUUAUAGGCAUUGUCCUCUUUGCUCCUUUCUGGGGGUUCUUCAGCCUGAGGUAGUUUCCUCAUACAAAUGUGCUCGUUAGUACUCAGCUGAAGACUUGAAAGAGAUCUUGUAUAACACUUAUCUAUAGAGAACAACCUGAUGGUUACCAGAAGGGGGGCAAGUGGAAGGAUGGUGAUUUAGGAGUGAUUUGUGAUGAGCACCUGAUGAUGUAUGGAAAUGCUGAAUCACUGUAUUGUACACCUGAAACUGAUACUACACUGCAUUUUAACUAACUGGAAUUUAAAAAAGAAAGACCUUCUAUAAAUCUCUAGUGCUCUUUCACUGUGCAUCUCUCAUCUCUAGUACUCUGCCUGCAGGAGUCAAGGUGUCUUGUCCUUCCAGCUCUGUUCUCUCACUUCAGGGAGACCAUGAGGCUUGUCUGGGUUUUUCCUCCUUGCUCUGUGGUUUGAAAGUGCUCCAGGCAGCAAGCUGGGGCAGUUGUAUGGCUCAGCUUGUUUGUUCACCCUCUCACCAUAACUGUUCUGUUGCCCAGUAUCUGAAAACCAUUGUGUUCAGUUUUUUGUUACUUCAGGUAGAAGAAUAAAUCUAAAUAUUCCAUUUUGUCUGAAAAGAGAUUAUAUUCUAAACUUAAUGCUGUCUCAUAUAGCAACCACCAGCUGUUGUGAUGGUGUAAAUUUUAAUUAAAUUUAGUUGAUGCAGUUCUUAGUUAUAGUUAGCUUACAUCUAAAGUGCUCAGUAGCUACAUGUAGGUAAUGGUUACCUCACUGAAUGUUGCAGAUAUAAAACAUUUCCUAUCAUUGCAUAAAAGUUCUACUGGACAGUGCUAUUACAAUAAGAGAACUUGGAUUUGUUCAUGAGCAUUGAAAGGUGCCUUCACUCGUUUCAUUUCAAGAUUUUAUUUACUUUCUUAUUUUUAUUUUUUAAUGUUUAUUCAUUUUUGAGAGAGAGACAACUUGAACAGGGGAGGGGCAGAGAGGGAGACACAAUCUGAAGCAGGCUCCAGGCUCUGACCUGUCAUGACCUGAGCCAAAGUUGGACACUUAACUGACUGAGCCACCCAGGCACCCCUCAAGUUUUGGUUUUAAGACAGUUAGCUGGAUGGGGUUAUGAACAGAUCACUGGAGCUCACCACUGUAUGCUUAUAGACAAUUUCCCCAAAUCUGUAUUAGUGAAUUGGAUUCAACAAAGUGUUCCACAAUGUUCGUGUAUUAAAAGGUUUCUGAUAUUUAAAAAAGAAGUGUUUCGGGGCGCCUGGGUGGCUCAGUCGGUUAAGCAUCCGACUUUGGCUCAGGUCAUGAUCUUGCUGUUUGUGGGCUCAAGCCCCGCAUUGGGCUCUGUGCUGACAGCUUGGAGCCUGGAGCGUGCUUCGGAUUCUGUGUCUCCCUCUCCCUCUCUGCCCAUCCCCUGCUCAUGCUCUGUCUCUCUGUGUCUCUCAAUAAUAAAUAAAUGUUUAAAAAAAAAAAAGAAGGUGUGCUUACACGGUUUACCCAUCACUGCGUCCAAAUGGAAAGCUUAAAAAAAAAAAAUAAAAAAGAAGUGGUUUAACUGUUUUUAUUCCUUUAAAAUAAGGCAGUUGAGGAGAUGCCAGGUGAAUACUGGACCAAAUAGUGGUGCCAUAACCAGUUAACGAUUCUCUGGAAUCCUUCCAUAUCAUCUGCUAUGCGUAUUUUAAAUUGUUAGUCAUAUUAUUUUGUUAUCUCUUAGUCAUACUAUUUUAGUUCUUUUAAUUCUUCCUAUAUCCGUUCAAUGGGCCACUGGUUAGGGACCAGAAACAUUAAGAAAAUUAAGUUGUUAUUGAAAUAGUGGGUAAGGAGCAUAAAAAUAUUGAUUCUAAAUAUUUGCUUCAUGAUUAUUAUUCAUGCUCUUUUAAUUGUCUGUGUUCUAAUAUCCUGCAUAUAAUAUAGACAGUGUAUUGGUAAUUACUCAAAAAGCAAUGUUAAAAGAAAAUGUAGUGAUAUGCAGGGUGGCCUUUUAUUUUUAGAGAAUAAGAAUUACUUACACUUGAAGUGUGUUAUUUGAAGUGUUAGCAAAUACCAAUCUGAAGUCACUCUUAAUUCAUCACUUAGUGACAAAACACAGAAAUGGUUAAAAAAUAUUUUUAGUAAAAAAUACAAGAAUUCCAAACGCUAAGUCACAUUCUUAGUUUUAUCCUUGUAUAAUGUAUUCAAUUUUAACAUAUGUUUUCAACAUUCAUGAGUUUAUAGACAAGAUAAAUCAUUUUAGAGUAGAAAUGUCACCCAAAUGCAUUUUGUAACACAAUUUAAAUAAAACAGGAUGUAGCCUUUGUUAGAAGUUAAGAAUUUGUAGGUUUUCUUAAAAUGAACUUCAUAGUAUAGUCUUUACUAAAAUCCUGAUUAAAACUUUUUUGCCCCAAAAUUACUUCAUCACAUUUCCCACUUAAAUGAUUAGAACAAAUCCUCCCAAAUUCUUGUUACUGUGAAAGAUGGCAUUAAGGCAAAAAAGGUGAAAGUAUUUAGUACCCAAUUCUGUUUGUGUACAGGAAAUUACUUGAGAAGAUUUUAAAAAUGUACAUUCCUGGGGUGCCUGGGUGGCUCAGUCAGUUAAGCAUCUGACUCAAUUUUGGCUCAGGUCAUGAUCUCAGGGUUAGUGAGAUCGAUCCCCACUUGGGGCUCUGUGCUGACAGUGUGGAGCCUGUUUGGAAUUCUUCUCUCUGCUCCUCUCUUGCUCGUGUUCUCGGUCUCUCUCAAAAUAAAUAAAUAAACGUUUUUUUAAAAAAUGUAUAUUCCGGGGCAGCUUCUCCAGAAAUUCUGGAGUAGGCCACAUAGGUGAUUCUAGUAUUAGCCCCUGGAUGACAGUAGUGUGUAUUGGAAUACUCUUCAUGUCCAGUUAAUAGGUGCAUUUUAAAAAAAAGUAACAAUGCUGUAUCAGGCCAGUUUCUUGAUAGUAUUCAGUUUUAAGACAUUAACAUAUUUUGGGAAUACUCUCCAAGGGUUAUUAAGAUAAACCUCUUUAUGUCUUCUGGUUCAGUGGAACACUAGUUUGAGGAAUUUGGAUCUAGAUUUAUAUUGACUAAUUUGGUUAAUGUUUGGUUGAUCAACUUAAUUGUGACUAAUUGACCAGCCUGUGUUCUUACUGGUAUAAUUUAAUAAAAGACCAUCAUUGCUUUGCUAAAAUACAAAAAUAGUGGAAUAUUACCAGAGUGCUCUGUAACUGCAAAACACUAUAAAAAUCCCUCGUGUAAUUAUUAAAAAUUAAAAGAGAAUGUCAGACAUCACUUAUCUUAAUAGAAUAUGAAAUGAGGUAUAACUUGAGUUUAUGAAUAUGUUGUGGGUCUGAAUGGUUAUACAUCAUUCAUUUAAUAAUCUGUGGUGUGUUUGGGUUUUUUUAAGUUUAUGAUAGUAGUUGGCUGGUGAAGCUUACCUUGUAUAAAAACUAUUGACAUCACCAAGAGUAUCAGAAAGUAUUUUUUCAUAGUUUUAGGUUAACCAAAGACAUAAAAGUUAAAGAAAUUCUGAAGUUUGACCACUCAGAUAUUUGGUGAAGAGCUUGGCUUGAGUAAUGUUCAUUCUUUUAAAAUUUGACUGUUAGUUUUCAUUUCACAGCAAACUAGUUUUAUUCCUUUCCCCAAACCGGAAAUAGAUUUUUCUUUUUCACCCCACUGCUUUCUUGGCAUACAUGUUUAGCUGUCAUUGGUGUCAUUGUAGUAGUACUUACUUAAAAUGAUGUAAUUGUUGUAAUAAACUUUAUAAUAAUUGGUCAAGUUUAUAAUUAUUGGCCAAGAUACUCUACUCUGUAUCACCAUUUUUAGUGAUUUAUGCAUAUGUGUCAUAUUCUUUCCUUCCUAUCUUUAGUUAAAAUGCAUAUUUUUUUGUCAUACUAGGGAGCUAAUGGGUGUGGCUGCUUGAAUAAGAGAACUAAUAUUUUUUUGAAACCUUAGUUUGUUAUCUUAUUAACCUGUUGAUAUUUUGAGGCAUAUAUUUGCUUUUUGGUUUACUACUAAAAUAAACGUGUCGAAGUGUAAGAGAACCUAUUUUUUAAGUGCUGUUCAGUCUUCAGUCAAAGACUUAAGAAAAACAGACCUGGAUCAGGAGUCUCUACCAAGAGGAAAAUAGUGCUGUCUUCUUAGGAGAGUUGUUCUGUGAUCUGAAAUUCAUUUCUCUUUGACUUGAGCUCAUUAUUCUUUAUAGUAGCAGUCAUGCUUAUGAAUUUUGCCUAAUGAAAAGAUUUUUAAGAGGUUUAGGCUUCAACAUAUGCCUGCAAAACUAUAUUUGGCACAGGUUUUUUUUUUUUUUUUUUU